rnacentral:siRNA from 1 species
UCAAAGCGCUCGAUAUGGU